AUACGGAGGGUGCAAGCGUUGUUCGGAAUUAUUGGGCGUAAAGAGCAUGUAGGCGGACUGUUAAGUCUGGUGUGAAAGCCCGGGGCUCAACCCCGGAAGUGCAUUGGAUACUGGCAGUCUUGAGUAUGGGAGAGGAAAGUGGAAUUCCGAGUGUAGGAGUGAAUCCGUAGAUAUUCGGAGGAACACCAGUGGCGAAGGCGGCUUUCUGGACCAAUACUGACGCUGAGAUGCGAAAGCGUGGGGAGCGAACAGGAUUAGAUACCCUUGUAGUCC
rnacentral:rRNA from 1 species